GUCGUGGGGCAGCACAGGUAGCAAUACUGGGUGGCGACCGGCAAACGGGUGCGGAACACGUACGCAACCUUCCUUUAAGCGGGGAAUAGCCCAGGGAAACUUGGAUUAAUACCCCAUAAGACAGUGGUGUGGCAUCACACAGCUGUCAAAGCUCCGGCACUUAAAGAUGGGCGUGCGACUGAUUAGGUAGUUGGCGGGGUAACGGCCCACCAAGCCGACGAUCAGUAACUGGUGUGAGAGCACGACCAGUCACACGGGCACUGAGACACGGGCCCGACUCCUACGGGAGGCAGCAGUAAGGAAUAUUGGUCAAUGGACGCAAGUCUGAACCAGCCAUGCCGCGUGGAGGAUGAAGGCCCUCUGGGUUGUAAACUUCUUUUAUUGGGGAAGAAACCUGUUUUUUCUAAAGCAGUUGACGGUACCCGAUGAAUAAGCACCGGCUAACUCCGUGCCAGCAGCCGCGGUAAUACGGAGGGUGCAAGCGUUAUCCGGAUUCACUGGGUUUAAAGGGUGCGUAGGUGGGCAGGUAAGUCAGUGGUGAAAUCUCUGGGCUCAACCCAGAAACUGCCGUUGAUACUAUCUGUCUUGAAUGUAGUGGAGGUGAGCGGAAUAUGUCAUGUAGCGGUGAAAUGCUUAGAUAUGACAUAGAACAUCUAUUGCGAAGGCAGCUCGCUACACUAUUAUUGACACUGAGGCACGAAAGCGUG
rnacentral:rRNA from 1 species